rnacentral:rRNA from 1 species
CUGUGAUUGAUCCUUCGGGUGAAGUCACAGGAGGACAGCGGCAAACGGGGUAGUUAGGCGCAGGUUACGUACCCUCUGGUUGGGGAUAGCCACGGGAAACUGUGGGUAAUACCCAAUGAUCCGUCGUGUUGUAAUGACGUGGCGGCAAAGGUGAGAUUCCGCCGGAGGAGCGGUCUGCGUGGUAUUAGCUUGUUGGUGAGGUAAUGGCUCACCAAGGCGAAGAUGCCUAGGGGGUGUGAGAGCAUGGCCCCCACCACUGGGACUGAGACACUGCCCAGACACCUACGGGUGGCUGCAGUCGAGAAUCUUUGGCAAUGCACGCAAGUGUGACCAAGCGACGCCGAGUGCUGGAUGAAGGCCUUCGGGUUGUAAACAGCUGUCAGAGGGGAUGAAAUUGUUGGGGGCUAUCCCCCUUCAUUGACAGAGCCUCAGAGGAAGCGCGGGCUAAGUUCGUGCCAGCAGCCGCGGUAAUACGAACUGCGCGAACGUUAUUCGGAAUCACUGGGCUUAAAGGGUGCGUAGGCGGCCUGUUAAGUAGGGUGUGAAAUUUGUCGGCUCAACCGGCAAACUGCAUUCUAAACUGGCAGGCUUGAGUGAGUCAGGGGUGUGCGGAACUUCCGGUGGAGCGGUGAAAUGCGUUGAUAUCGGAAGGAACGCCGGUGGCGAAAGCGGCACACUGGGGCUUUUCUGACGCUGAGGCACGAAAGCUAGGGGAGCGAACAGGAUUAGAUACCCUGGUAGUCCUAGCUGUAAACGAUGAAUACUGGGUUGGGGGAGCAUGUCUCUCCCAGCCGUAGCGAAAGCGUUAAGUAUUCCGCCUGGGGAGUAUGGUCGCAAGGCUGAAACUCAAAGGAAUUGACGGGGGCUCACACAAGCGGUGGAGGAUGUGGCUUAAUUCGAGGCAACGCGAAGAACCUUAUCCCGGACUUGACAUCUAUGGAUUAGCUCUGUGAAAGCAGAGUGACGCCUUCGGGUGGAACAUAGACAGGUGCUG